UACGUAGGUGGCGAGCGUUGUCCGGAUUUAUUGGGCGUAAAGCGCGUGUAGGCGGCCAGGUAGGUCUGGUGUGAAAACUCGAGGCUUAACCUCGAGAUGUCAUCGGAAACCAUCUGGCUAGAGUCCGGAAGAGGAGAGUGGAAUUCCUGGUGUAGCGGUGAAAUGCGCAGAUAUCAGGAAGAACACCAAUGGCGAAAGCAGCUCUCUGGGACGGUACUGACGCUGAGACGCGAAAGCGUGGGGAGCGAACAGG
rnacentral:rRNA from 1 species